GCACCUGUAGUUCAAUGGAUAGAAUACUGGAUUCCGGUUCCAAUGAUAAGGGUUCGAUUCCCUUCGGGUGUACUA
rnacentral:tRNA from 1 species